UCUGUCUCCCAGGUUCAAGCGAUUCUCCUGCCUCAGCCUCCGGAGUAGCUGGAUUACAGGCACCCGCCACCACGCCCAGCUAAUUGUAUUUUUACUAGAGACAGGGUUUCACUAUAUUGGCCAGGCUGGUGUCGAACUCCUGACCUCAGGUGAUCCACCUGCCUCAACCUCCCAAAGUGCUGGGAUUACAGGCGUGAGCCACCGCACCCAGCCUGAGUCUUAAUUCUUGCCAUACAGCUGUUGGUACAAGUGGCUCUGGCACCCCUAUAAGGAAAUCCCACCCCUAGAAGCGCCAAGAAGAGGCCCAUGGGAGGCCAAGUGCGGUUGGGGAGCAUGUGGACUUUUGAAGUUGAUGUCAUGGACGCAAGCUGCCCGGAGCAGGGACACUGACCUCCGGAUGAUGAUCUCAUGGGAGAGGCAGGCGGGGGCAAAGCUGGCCCUGUUGGAGAGGAGACAGUGGCUUGUGAGCUCCUUACCCCCUCAGCCCCUUUUCCACCCCCACUCCCCUAGAGCUGUCCCCCGCCUGGCCAUCACCCCUUCCUGUUGCUAUGGCUGCCAGCUGUUCCUCUGGCCCGGGCCUCCCCCUAGUUGGCCAGCUCCCGGCUGACCCUUAUCGCUUUGUGCCUCAAAUCCCUGCUCAGAGUCCACCUCUUCCAGGCAGGCCCUCCCAGGUGAUGGCAAGAGGCUGCCCUAGACAGGCAAAUAUUCUGCUACUAUCUAGAACUCUAUUUUCAUUUUAUUUUGAGUCGGGGUCUGGCUCUAUCGCCCCAGCUGGAGUGUAGUGGUACAAUCGAAGCUUGCUUGCCUCCCACAGGCAAGGUUAGCUCACUGUAACCUUGAACUCCUGGGCUCAAGGGAUCCUCCUGCCUCAGCCUCCUGAGUAGCUGGGAUUACAGGUGAUGCCACCAUGCCUGGAUAAUUUCUGUAUGUGCAGUAGAGACACGGUUUCACCAUGUUGCCCUGG
rnacentral:lncRNA from 1 species